GACGAACGCUGGCGGCGCGCCUAACACAUGCAAGUCGAACGGAAUCAAGAGGAGCUUGCUUUUCUUGAUUUAGUGGCGAACGGGUGAGUAACGCGUGAGUAACCUGCCCUGGAGUGGGGGACAACAGUUGGAAACGACUGCUAAUACCGCAUAAGCCCACGGUGCCGCAUGGUACUGAGGGAAAAGGAUUUAUUCGCUUCAGGAUGGACUCGCGUCCAAUUAGCUAGUUGGUGAGGUAACGGCCCACCAAGGCGACGAUUGGUAGCCGGACUGAGAGGUUGAACGGCCACAUUGGGACUGAGACACGGCCCAGACUCCUACGGGAGGCAGCAGUGGGGGAUAUUGCACAAUGGGGGAAACCCUGAUGCAGCGACGCCGCGUGGAGGAAGAAGGUUUUCGGAUUGUAAACUCCUGUCGUUAGGGACGAUAAUGACGGUACCUAACAAGAAAGCACCGGCUAACUACGUG
rnacentral:rRNA from 1 species